ACUACGGGUGGCAGCAGUGGGGAAUAUUGCACAAUGGGGGAAACCCUGAUGCAGCGACGCCGCGUGAGUGAAGAAGUAUUUCGGUAUGUAAAGCUCUAUCAGCAGGGAAGAAAAUGACGGUACCUGAUUAAGAAGCCCCGGCUAACUACGUUACAGCAGCCGCGGUAAUACGUAGGGGGCAAGCGUUAUCCGGAUUUACUGGGUGUAAAGGGAGCGUAGACGGCAGCGCAAGUCUGAAGUGAAAUGCCGGGGCUGAACUCCGGAACUGCUUUGGAAACUGAGCAGAUAGAGUGCAGGAGAGGUAAGUAGAAAUCCUAGUGUAGCGGUGCAAUGCGUAGAUAUGAGGCGGAACACCAGUGGCGAAGGCGGCUUACUGGACUGUAACUGACGUUGAGGCUCGAAAGCGUGAGGAGCAAACAGGAUUAGAUACCCGGGUAGUC
rnacentral:rRNA from 1 species